AUUGAACGCUGGCGGCAGGCCUAACACAUGCAAGUCGAGCGGGGGUAGCAAUACCCUAGCGGCGAACGGGUGAGGAAUGCUUGGGAAUCUGCCUCGUAGUGGGGGAUAAUGUUCCGAAAGGAACGCUAAUACCGCAUACGUCCUACGGGAGAAAGGGGGGGAUCUUCGGACCUCUCGCUAUGAGAUGAGCCCAAGCGGGAUUAGCUAGUUGGUGAGGUAAAGGCUCACCAAGGCUACGAUCCCUAGCUGGUCUGAGAGGAUGAUCAGCCACACUGGAACUGAGGCACGGUCCAGACUCCUACGGGAGGCAGCAGUGGGAAUAUUGGACAAUGGGCGAAAGCCUGAUCCAGCCAUGCCGCGUGUGUGAAGAAGGCCU
rnacentral:rRNA from 1 species